UCCCUCUUAGCUCAGUGGUAGAGCGCGUCACUAGUAUAGGAGAGGUGGCACAUAUUACAAUGACGAGGUCAGUCGUUCAAGUCGGCUAGAGGGAA
rnacentral:tRNA from 1 species